rnacentral:tRNA from 1 species
UUGUGGCUCAGCGGUAGAGUGCACACCUAGCACGUGUGAGGCCCUGGGUUCGAUCCUCAGCAA